UACAGAGGGUGCAAGCGUUUGUUCGGAAUUAUUGGGCGUAAAGCGCGUGUAGGCGGCUUUGCAAGUCGGUCGUGAAAUCCCUCGGCUCAACCGAGGAACGUCGAUCGAUACUACCGUUCUUGAGGAUUGCAGAGGAGACUGGAAUUCCCGGUGUAGCGGUGAAAUGUGUAGAGAUCGGGAGGAACACCGGUGGCGAAGGCGGGUCUCUGGGCAAUUCCUGACGCUGAGGCGCGAAAGCGUGGGGAGCAAACGGG
rnacentral:rRNA from 1 species